rnacentral:lncRNA from 1 species
GUUUAUCUCAUUUGAUCCCACUUUCAGUCUUUUAUCUCAUCUUUAAUUUAUUAUUGUUUCAGUUCAUUUUAUUGGUCUUGUUGAGAAAAAUAAAUAAGUAAUCAAUUCUCUGUGGAUUCGAUCCUUUCACCACUAUCUGCAGUUGUAAAAUUGUUGAUAACCAGAAAGGUUAUUUUUGACCGGCUUCGACAACCGCGAGUCA